UGAGAAGCUGACGGCAAUUAUAUAACCCCUUUGUCUCGGUAAAAAUUAAUAUUUUAAUUAUUUUUCCUUAUUUAUUUAUGUGUAUGGUAAAUAAUUUAUGUCUUGACAAUUAAUAAGUCGUCAAGUUUGUUGGUUUCCAUUAAUUGAUACGAAUGACUGGAUAUUUAAUAUGGAGAAUAUAUUUUUGAUAUUUUGAGUAUUUACUUGCUCGAAUGAUUGUUCAUCAUCAUUUUCUUCAUUGAUGUUUUGUUGGUGCAAAAAUGCGUUGAGAGGAAAAUAAACUUCAGCGAGAGAUUAAUUGGAGUAAAAUUAAUUUAUUGAUUCCGAUCAUCAUGAAUUUCUUGUGCUGGUUCCGGAUGCUGGAAGCGCAGAAAUACGUCCGCCGAGAAAUUGAAAGAAUUGUCUGCUGCUCUGAAUAUUUCUCGGUGUGGUGAGUGUCUUUCUGCAUGAUAUAUUUUUUUACUAAAUCAUAAGUUAGUUUUAUUUAUCUUUUGACUCGAGUCGUGGACUCAUAUAAUUUCCUAAUUUUAUUUUUUGCUGCUAAACUGAAACUGUCUGUCUUUAGCAAAAAUUAA